AUUUAUACCAUCUAUCACAUAUAUUAGUUAGAUUACUAAGUUUUUUUCGUCAAGGAAACUUUGUUUUGUCAAGCAACUGAGCAACUCGAACCAUUUUUAGCAUGUGUUCACUUUUCGAUUUGUUUGUGAUUAUUGGUAGCUGACAAAGGUAAGGGUAAGGCUGUGAUUGAAGGCUUUGAAGCUGCAUCAAGAGUACUGUACACUAGAAGUGCAUGCAAAUUAAAAGGAUCCUAAAAUCUCUCCGUCAGCUGCCCAAGUUUGGACAUCCAGUGUAGAUGUUCUCGUGGACAGUUGAACAGAACAGUAGCAUGAGUAUGAUGAACACCCUAUUGCCAAGUGGGAUCACUUUGGUGAGCUUGACCCUAGUGAGCAAACCUAUGUGCAGAGCAUUAGGGAAUGAAGGGAGUAUGAAGAUACGUUCAGGGGACUAAUCUCUCUUCACAUAACUAAACAACAAACUGAUGAGCACAUUGUACUAUUAAUGAAAAGAGAAUGAA